AGACAGAUAGCUUAAAGGUAGAGCGACAUCGUGUAGGAUGUAGAUUUCGGUUCGAUUCCGAUUCUGUUUCUU
rnacentral:tRNA from 1 species